GUAUCACCUCUUUAGGUCCUUUCAGCAAGGGAAGCUUUUAAUUUCCAGUCCAUGAAAAGCUUCCCUUGCUCAAAUGACCUAAAGAGGUAAUGG